rnacentral:rRNA from 1 species
CCUACGGGUGGCAGCAGUGGGGGAUAUUGCACAAUGGGGGGAACCCUGAUCCAGCGACGCCGCGUGUAGGAAGACGGUCCUCUGGAUUGUAAACUACUGUUCCCAGGGACGAAGAUGACGGUACCUGGGGAGGAAGCUCCGGCUAACUACGUGCCAGCAGCCGCGGUAAUACGUAGGGAGCGAGCGUUGUCCGGAAUUACUGGGGGUAAAGGGAGCGUAGGCGGGGAUGCAAGUUGGGUGUAAAAUCUACCGGCUCAACUGGUAGGCGCACUCAAAACUGCAGCUCUUGAGUGAAGGAGAGGCAGGCGGAAUGCGUAGUGUAGCGGUGAAAUGCGUAGAUAUUAGGAGGAACCCCAGUGGCGAAGGCGGCCUGCUGGGCUUUUACUGACGCUGAGGCUCGAAAGUGUGGGGAGCGAACAGGAUUAGAUACCCUAGUAGUC